CUGAAAGUGACUUAUUAAAUAGAUAGUAUUUCUUUCCAAGAAAAAUGGUGGUGAUGGCUAGAUUAUUAUUUUUUUAAUUACAGCCAGCACCACAAUAUAUAAUACUUUAGAAUUUAGUAGGAAGAUUACUAGUAGUAGGAGUAGUGGGUGGAGUAGUUUUAGGAGUACAAGUAGAAGGAGUAGAGAGGAAUAGUAGUAGUAAUAGUAGAAUGGCCAACACGUUUUAAAACCUAAACUGUGUGGGAGGUGUAGUGUGCCAAAAAUAAUAAGAAGUAUGAAGAAGAACUAAACUGGCAGUUUCUCAAUCCUCCCCACUAACUAAGACACUGUACACUUCCUUGACUUUGCAUUGUUUGCAAAGGGCUUGAUUAAAUGUUCACCUUGAAAGGAAAGACAAUAUCUACCACAAAGAAGAAAGUUUCAGAUGUUGUACUGACCAAAGACAAAGUAAAAAAGUCAGCUGUUGAGAAAGGGCCGAUGAAAAAAGACAAAAUAACUCCUAUAAAAAAAGAUUCCCCUAAAGCAAAAGUGAAGAAGCAAGAACCUGUUUUGUCCAAAGGCAUGGUCAAACCAGCUGGUGUGAAAAAAGUUUCAGAUGUUGUACUGACCAAAGACAAAGUAAAAAAGUCAGCAGUCGAGAAAGGGCCGAUGAAAAAAGACAAAAUAACUCCUAUAAAAAAAGUUUCAGAUGUUGUAUUGUCCAAAGAUAAAGUAAAAAAGUCAUCUGUUAAGAAAGAGCCUGUGGAAAAAGCCAAAAUAAUUCCAAUGAAGAAAGGGCUUACAGUCUCCAAACUCAAAGGCAAAACAAUCACCACUAAGAAAGAACCGUCUGUGGCAAAAUCCAAAGCCAAAAGGUUACCUGUAAAGAAUGAAGCUGAGCCCCCUAAAGAGAAAGCCUCUCUAAGACACUCAACCAUGAGAAAAGAUAACCUCACAAAUAUACCAGUGCCAAUGGUAAAAGCCACUGCAAGAGUUGCUGCCACAAGACCCAUCUUUACAAGAAAAGCUGAAGACAAGCCAAAAGUACCAGAUGAGAAAGAAGAAAAGGUGAAGAAUCUUAAAACAUCAGAAGAUGAAGUUGAGAAGACUGAGAAGACUGAGAAGAGAGUGGUGAAAGAGGCUACAGAAGGAGACACGAAGCAUCCUGAUAAAGCAGAGAAUGGGCCAGAGUCUUCUUUUCCUUCAGUUCAGGACUAAGAAGAGUCUCUGGCUGAGGAGAAUGUCACAGACAAGAAAAAAACAGGCCAGAAAGUCUUGCAGUGUGUCUUAAUGGCCGGAAAGAAUACCUACUACCCUAUGCAACCUUUCACCCCUGGCAUAACCCCUGUGUCGAUGAGCCCAGCCAUGCGGUCAAUGAUGAUGCAGCAGGCACAGCAGCAGACACAGCAGCAGAAGGCCAGAGCGGCAGGGCAAUAGAACAGUUCCACACCUCAACGAUGCCUCAGCUACUCCAUCUGCACUGCAGUCUUCACCAGCAGGUGGCACUGUUUGUUUUUACUGCUGUGCCACUGGCUUAAUUGAAAACGCAGGACAAUCAGGGGCUGAAGUGUACGGAAGAAUGGUCAGUACAGUACCAGUAAGGUUCCUAUGACCGGUUGAGCUCCCCGAAACCCCUUUCCAUCACCAGCUUUGCUGCUUUUGUUAUCGCUCAGCAUCAAGUCCUUUGUCAUGUAUGUCUUUCAGCAAAUGUAUUUGUCAUGAACACGAGUGUAGGUUUUGUCUAUAUUACCUUCAGCAGUGAAUUUAUCACUUAUGUAAAUUUCAACUAAAUGCAGUGUAUAUAUGCAUAGAAAUUGUAAUUUAGCUUCAAUCCAGUGUAUAUAAUGUACAUGUUGAUAUUACAUCUUGCGGUUUACAUUUGUUGAAUGGUUACUUGGCAUUCAUCUUUUGCAUCACAACAUUCAUCCCUUUUGUGAUUACAGAACAUGUAUGCACAUAACAUUUUGGGUCAUGCAUUAUCCACGGCAUUGUAAUGUUUCACUUCACCACAUGUUUUGAUUGUUUUGUGAAAACUGUUGCUUGUUUUGGUGCGAAACAUAUCCAUCUCUAUGCUUUGGAGAGAGUGCCAUGCACUGCAGUUAUUGCUCUCUUUAUCUUAUCUGUACAUUGAAAUCCUAAGCCAUAUAUUGACAUUCACAUCAAACCCUGAAAAAGCACAAAAAAACUAAGAAAUAACUGAUAAAGAUUUGUAUUUGCCUAAAAUGUAUUUGUAUACAAAAAUAUAUGUAUUUAUAUAUAUAUAUAUAUAUAUAUACAUAUAUAUAUAUAUAUAUAUAUGUAUGUGUAUGUAUUAUAUUCUUAAAAAUACAUAUAUAUAUAUAUAUGUAUUUUAAGAUUCCUAUCUGUCAUUAGCUAAUAAAAAAAUUGUAAUCAACGUAGUCCCCUUGCCAAAGACGGCAAGGCAAUGUCACAUACAAUAACCCUGUCACAUACUUGUCAGAUGUAAUUUGAUCUGGUUCACAGGCAUUGUAAGACUUACUGUCAUCUGGCCAGAUCUACGCCUACAGUAAAUAUAUGUGACUGUCAAACACUCCCUUAUCACGUCCUACGCUGUUUGCAAUGUCUUCCGUUGUUUGAUGUGUUGCUUCAAUGUGACUGCUUUGGCUUGCAUCUUGCUGCUCGGCGUGUUGGUAAAGAAUUGUGGGAAGAUGAAUACACCACCAUUCGUGGGAGCUCCCGUUAUUAUCCUUGAUAACCUCUCUGACUCUUUCACACUGUCUCUCUUAGACUGUGUGUACCGACAUUACAACCGUAGAGGAUGUCAUGUCACUGACCAUCCUCACAUUUAUGACCAACGACGACUCUCGUGAGAUGGCGUUAUGAUGUCGUCCUGCGAGCUAUAGGCAUGGAUGAUAUUGUUGCCAUCGUAUUCCUUUCACGGCACUUGCUGCCGUGUGCAGCCACCUACUAUGGGAUUCUGUCCAAGUAGGAGUGCCUUACUCUGAUAAUGGCGUUGCUGAGCUGAGCCCAGCAUUUCCAUUGAUGUCUUACUCAACUAGACUGAUGUCAGGAGUCCAGGUUUCAAGACCAUGUGAAAGAAACUGCUGGACCUGAGGUCAGAUAUCCUUGGUAUAGUAGAAGUGAGAAUAUACACAUGCAGAUACCGUGAUUGCCUGGCAGCCCAUCCUGUUAAAACCUGGGAGCCCAUCCUGUUAAAGCAUGGAAGCGAAGGCCAAGCUACUCCAUUUUGACCUAUUGGAGGUUAGUUAUCCAUACAUUUGACAGGGGUUGCAUUGUCUCUUUUUGAGAGGACACAUGCUUCCUCAGUCAGCAACACCAGCUUGGCAAAUUAUUGAGAAGUAGGCCAGGGAAAAAAAAAAUUACUUUGAAGUUCCAGAGCGCCAUUUCCUGUUCCACCGGGGAGAUGCUGCUGUUUGCUGUGUGUUCAUAUUUUUUUCUGAGGAUCUGACUGAUGGCUCGAGGCACAGCCUCCCCACAAAGAUCCACAAUCCACAAAGAAUCAACUUCAGCGAUGACUCGAAUUAUAUCGUUAUAUUCAUUAUAACUACGUCUUAUCUUUCUAUUUUUGCUUUUUUUUGGUCAGAGUAACUUGUCUACUCGUGGUGGAAUGGCGUUGUUGGUUGGCUGCUCCUUCAUUAUGAGCUUGGUCAUACCAUCAUACCUGCCCAGUCAAGAAAACAAGCAUUGGCAUUGACUAAGACAACUGUUUGGUAUGAGGUAUAAAUACCUGAUGUUUACUUCGUUUACAAACUUGCCCCUGGCGAAUUUCAGUGAAUUUGUUCACUUGUUGACAGUCUUGACAGAGUACAGACCUCAGAUACACAUGAUUAAUAAAAACAGAUUUUGUUUUUAUCAUGUGAGCUGUAACAGCUGUUGAAAAAAUUGAUUCAGAAAUUAAAUUAUGUUUGGGGUUGUUUUGAUAAUUUCCUAUGUAUUAUGCAUGAGUGUUAUUUGAACAGACUGCACAUUUUGCAGUUCUUUUCUCUUGAUCUGUCUGUUACACUUUGGUGAGCACUGAAUGACUUGUAUGACUUGAACUAUUAGCUUUAAUCAGAUCUCAGUCAGACAUCAGUUGAGCUGUAACGGAAGGAUAUACUGUAGAUAGUGUUGCUAUGAGAUGUGUAUGCUCUGUUUACCUGCUCAAAAAUAUUGACAUGCAUGAAGGAAAACAAACUCUCAGCUGCCUUCUGUGCCAGCAACAAUAUAAAAUAUAUUCCCAAAGGCUAAUUAUAUCCAAGAUGAAUUGUCUAUCCAAAUUUGCAUGCAGGUAGAUUUGAGUCUUUUAGCAACUUUAUCUAGCUCUGCAGUUGAUCACAUCUUAAUGUGACAGACGUGUUAAUGAUACAGCUCUUUUAGUAGUUAUGUUUAAACGCUCAAAACCCUUAUAAUAAUAACACAUUUCUUAUUUAAAGCAUUUUCAAAUCUCCAGAAUAUUUAUUGGGAAGUAUGUUGUACAUGGUCCAUAAAUGAACUGAUAAUACAAUACUUACCGUUACCAUAUUACAUGUUAUUUUUUUUUUAUAACACAUUCAUUUCAUUUUAGAGUACAUUAAGCAAAAUGAGAGAUACACAUGGUAAUAUGACACCAUUGUAAUAAAUUACGUAAAUAUUUGAGUGUGUGCUUCAUUUUAGUAUGUG
ensembl:lncRNA